ACCUGACCGGGCCUUGACGCGCGUCCGCGCCAUUUUUGGUACUGGUACGGCAGCCACACCUCACUCUUUCUGCAGGAUUCCGGAAAAUAGCGUCUUCGCAGUGCCUUCACGCUUCCCUGUUUAUAGGUAAGAGUCUUCAAAUUCUCACAUCUUUGGCUUGUGGUGGAAGGCAGUGUCGGUGUUACUCAAGGUGGAGGCUGUAGCCUGGGAUGGAUCCACAGACUGAUACCAUUCCAUGGGAAGCUCCAGUAAUCCCGAAGAGCCUUCCUGGCUGCACUAAAACAAGUUUGGUGUGUGAACAGACAAGCCUCCAUGACAUAAGCCAAGAAGCACAGAGUGAGUCUGGAGAGAUGGCUCAG